UCCCUGCCCAGUUAGAGGCGCCACCUCACGGUCCUGGGCAUCGGUCCCGGUAAGGCUGGGAAUGUCCCGGGCGGAGGCGGCUCAGACUUGAGUAGCGCACCACCCUGCACGGCUGUGUUGCAGGGCCCGGGAGGCUCACUGUUCCGAGAUGGCCGGGCAGGCAAACCAAGAUGUGAAGUACUACACCCUGGAAGAGAUUCAGAAGCACAAAGACAGCAAGAGCACUUGGGUGAUCCUGCACCACAAAGUGUACGAUCUGACCAAGUUUCUGGAAGAGCAUCCUGGUGGGGAAGAAGUCCUAAGAGAGCAAGCUGGGGGCGAUGCUACUGAGAACUUUGAGGAUGUUGGGCACUCUACCGACGCGCGAGAACUGUCUAAAACAUACAUCAUCGGGGAGCUCCAUCCAGAUGACAGAUCCAAGAUAGCCAAGCCUUCGAGUAAGAAUUUAUGAGAACAGCCAGCCAGAGGUCCUGAGAAGUCUAAGCAGGCAUGAGUUAAUUCUGGCCUGGAAGGAAGGAAGGCUGAGGGAAGGUUUUGCUUAAAAAUUGACAGCAAGAAAGCUGAGCUUUUCCACUGUGCUCUGAGCUUCUGGUCCUCGUGGAGAAGGCACACAGGACGAGCGUCUCUGAGCUUGCAAUGAGUACUGGAAAGUCCAUUGUGCCGUUUCUGCCACCACGAUGCUGUUUGCUGUGCCUGACAUCAGUAAUUCCACAGUGUGUGUGUGUGUGUGUGUGUGUGUGUGUGUGUGUGUGUGUGUGCACGUGUGUGCGGAUGUGCCGUGCUUACUCCGACUCUCACACAGUGCAAGAAGAGCCAUGUGUGUGCUUUUCAGUACAUGGCGAUUUAACUUCUGUUUUCCCCUGUCCUGUUCAGAAUGAGAACACACUUAACCCUGGUGAUAGGAGUGCUUCAGGAAGAUUUAAAAAACAAAAAACAAAAACAAAAUGGUGUUGAGAAUUUGCAUGCUGUCUGUGACAGUUGCUCAGAAUCUGACUAGUACAUGGUUUUUGUGGCUGUUUUACAGGCAGCUGAAACACUGGAGCACCAAUUUGUCCCAUGUGUAUCCUGCCUCCCCCCCCCCCCCGACCCAAGAGUCUGUCAGGGAAAAGUCUGUUUCUGUCCUGUGAGAUGUUUAGUAUGUUAAUGGUUUUGUUGUAAGUCAUUCACCUGCAGGAAAACAGGCUUGGGGGAGGUUUGUUUCCUGAGCUUUGGUCUGCUGCAGGCUAACCGCAUCUCUAACCGUAGUGCCUGUGCAGGUGUGGGGUGGUAAGCAUGUCUCAUACCCCGGACCACUGCAGGCCCUUGUCCAUUUGUUCUUAGUAACGUGUUCAUGGUGCAGCUGUGUAUCUCGGAGUGCUUGCCCAGCAUGCAUGAGGCCCUGGGUUCAAUCUCCAACAACUGGCCAUUAUUCUGCUCACCUGUAAUCCUGAGUGCUUGUGAGAGUGAUUACAAUGAUUACAGGAAGACCAGAAAUCACCCUUGGCUACAUCGUGAGUUUGAGGCUAGCCUGGGAGGCCUGUCCCAAAGGGCAGUGUGUUCCUGCUAUGUUUGCUGUUCGCUGUGGGUGUCUAGUUUUCUAUUUGCAUUUGUAAUCACUUUGAUGUUUGGGAUAGCUGGUGGACAGAGCACAGAGCAGGAUGAAUUCUGGGAUUGGCACUGUCAGCAUUACUGAAAGCCCCCCUGCCCAUCUUUGCAGGAGGGAGCUGCUCUCAGUAAGACACUGGGCCUUCAUUCCAUCACUCAUGGUUCAGUGGGUGUGGAACCUCUCGCUGGCAUCUGCAUCUACUCACUGUUCAAAGGAGAUACUUUUACUCUCAAGAUUUUACAGAUGGACCGACUUUGGACUAUUUUAUUGUUUUAAAGCAAACAAAUGAAAAAAACCUUUGUUCCCUAUUGUGAUUUUGCUUAAACAGGAGCAGAGCUGGAAGAAAUGGGGGUGACCCUUGCUGGUUAUUUGAGAGGCUGGAAGCAAGGGACACAGUAGAAAAUGUGUUGCCACUUUUCUGGGGGCUUUGUUAUUUCUGCCAAACAAAACUGUGUCUUUAAUUAUUUCCCAGGGUCACAUGCAAUCGUCUUUAGGCUGGAGAAUGUGUUCUGUGGUCUGAUGUUUUUAAAUAAACAUUGUGCUUGGAAUUGGAGCGCAGCUGUAGAGCACUUCACAAGUAUGCUUAGGUGUAUGCGUUAGUCCUUGGUGUUAAGAAAAAACUAUUACUUACUUAAAAUGUCAGUUUAAUUUGGAGAAAUAUGAUGUACUGGUGAGUAUUAGCUUGAACCUGCCCAAAAGAAGCUAAAUUGCCAAGUUAAGGAAUUUACAGACGCAGAAAUUACAUGUCUUUAAAUGUAUCCACAGCAACCAAAUUCGCUUACAUAGAAGGUAUUAGUAGUAUUGGUGCUCUUCCUUGUUAUUUUCAAAGCACCGUGAUAUGCAAGGUUGUAUUUGUCUCUGAGAUCCCCAGACCUUGAGGCCCUGAAGCUCCAGUGAGCUGCUGGUGAAAAAUCACACGUCUAGCUGUGGUCUCCUCAGUUGCCGGAAUCUCUGAACUUCUUAGGAAGGCUCCGCUGUCAGGAUUUCCAGUGAAGGAGUGAGCUAGGCCACGUGAACUUCAUUGGGGUAGCUGGUUUGCAAAGGCUUUGUGGAUUUGGUAUUUUUUUUAUAAGAUGCUAAUCAUAAUUUGUACUGACUCACAUGACCUCUGUAAGUCAUUAUACACACCAUAUACCAGUUGUUAGCCUUUUUUACUACAAGUUAGAAGGUCUCCAAGUUGCACAGAAACCAGGUGGCUGAUCUUUUUGAGUUCCUUCCCUGAACCUAGCUGAGCCCCUCAGAACACUGGCCACUAGAGAAAACGGACUUCUUUAUCCCACUGCUAUGUGGUCGUUACAACUUAAAUUCUCAAGCAUUCUGGGUUUUAAGGCUAUGAAAAAAAUAGACAAUUCAAAAACUAUGUUUUUUUUUUUUUAAGUUCUACCAUUUGGAGGGUCAUCGUUACCAGUGAUGGUGGUGGUGGUGGUGGUGGUGAUAUGCUAGGACCAUUUCAUUUACUUAUAUUUAAACUUUUAAAAUAUUUAUUUAUUUCGUGUGUGUGUAUGCACAUAGGCUUGUGUGCCUCAGCACGCACACAUAGAGGUCAGAGGUCAGAGGAUAACUUUCAGGAGAACUGAUUCUCCUUCCAUCGCAUGGGCUCCAGGGAUCAGGAGAGCUCAGGUUGUCGGGCUCUGAAGCAAGUGCCUCUGCCCGCUGAGCCAUCUCGCCUGCCCUUAUGACAGCGUCUUAACUGGCGCGGGCAUGUUUGAGUCUCAGCAAUAUUUUAACCUUACGCCGGUGCCUUCGUGUUAGCCAUGCAGCCACCAAGAUGGGGGAGGCAAGGAAGGCCACCCGAGGUUGCACAGGGUCCCCUGAAAAUGCAUAAGUCCCUGCCUGUAUCACGAGCGAGUGUCUGCCUCCUCACACUAACUAUCCAGCGUGCGAUAUAGUCUUGUGCCUUCGGCGAGCUCUUUGGUGUCUUCUGUGAUUGUGUUUCUUCUAAUAAAUGAAUACUAUUUGGUUGGUGUAUCUAAUUGUCUCUGGUAGUCAGUGUUAAUCAUACUCAUGAAAAACAAUCUUGUACUGGUUAUGAAUUCCCAUGACCACCAGGAUUUCAGUCUGCUUGCAGAGGUAACAAGUGUGAAGUUUUCUUUCUAAAGGACUUGUCUUUCUUCCCUACUGUGUCAGGAACCCUAAAGGUGAUGUGUCAAGGUUGGUGUGUGUCCCCGGCCUGCUUUGCUCAUGCACCCCUAAAGUGAAUUUGCCUCUGGGGGGGGGGGGGGAGUCUCUCUAACACCCCCCGCAGGGGCGCCGCUUUGCCUUGCCGCAGACGGCCGCUUGCUUUCCCGAAGUUUUCAUCUGUGCCGCGGAGAGGUACAGCCGUGACUUUCCGAUGGCGCUGGCCUGUCUGUAGCUGCUUUUGUUGAGCACUAACAGUUUCGCCGGUGUGGAACAUGACCAGUGUGCUUCCUAACAAGUGUUAAACCCUAAACGUGUGUGCUUCUCGGGGCUGCAGGUUUUGAACGGUUUGGGAAAAUAUGUCUGUUUUUGUUUCUGUUUUUGUUUUUUUUUUUUUAUGGUCCUGGUGAAAAGGACUGUGCUCAGAAAGUGCUGGAAGGUAAACAGAGCUUUAUUGGUUGGUUAGGCAGAGUGGUUUCUGAGUUAGUCUGGGCUCUUUCUGGUGCCAUGCAGUGAGUUAAAGAAAUCUCAGAAAAGGUGGUCUAGCCUGUGACACGAAUUCUUAUUGUUUUAGUUGAGGCACUUCUAAUGUAGCAUAGGUACACUUUUAAGCCCUGUCAGAUUUGAAUGAAUUAAAUGACAUUUUACUUAAUAUUCCAUGCUUUGAAGAAUUAAAUUUCCUUUCCAAAAGACAGUAAUACAGUCUUGCAUAUGUGUCCAUGAGUAUUCUGUUUUCAGUUUUUAUGCUGAAGUGCUGAAAUGUUAAAAGUGGAUUAUUAUAUGUAUUCUAUUAACAUUUUCAAAUUAUAAAGUUUAUAUUCUUAAGUAAUUUAAGGAAAAUUGUCCUUACAUUUUCAUUUUCUUGAAAAAUGGUAAAUUUAGGCUUUUUGGUAAGAAGAACUUGGAUAUAAUUGUCCCUUUUAACAAUUUUUAAAAGAUAGAGUUGAAUAAAAUGGUGAUUUUUUUAAAAAAAAAUAUUAAAACAGGAUUUCAAUCAGGGGGAUAAAUGCUCAGAUGUAUCCUUAACUUCAUGUUUUCUUUUGUGUCCCAGGAACCUCUCAUUACUACUGUCGACUCUAAUUCCAGUUGGUGGACUAACUGGGUGAUCCCAGCCGUCUCAGCCCUGGCGGUAGCCCUGAUGUAUCGCCUCUACAUGGCAGAAGACUAACUCGCCU